CCGUCGGCCACUCUCUUCAUUGAUUAACCGGUGCCUUGCUAUAAUGCUAUAUAUGCACAUCGUUUCGCUUUAUUCCAUAAAGCUGCUCUCCAUUUGCUCCAAUCUUCUAUUUUUCUGUUUGUUUGUGCUCUCGUUUAGUCAUUUCUAGAAUAGAUUUGGUUAAUGAGGAUUAUUAUACUCUGAAUCAAUUUGUUUCUCGUGCUUUAGAAGUUGAUUUCUUUGGUUAUAUUAUGGAUCCGAAAUCUGAUUUUCUAGUCACUUUCCGCCCCUAUGAAGAAUGUUUUCAAUCAAUGUUAAAAGUAGUGGACUGAAUGUUAUGCAUUGAGGAUAAAUUUAAGUUCUGAGGGGUUAGUUUUAGUUCUUCUUUUCAUUCAGAAACGCUUAAAUGUAGUUAUGUGUUUUUGAAGAAUUCGUUUAGCCAUUUGUUUCCUUUCAUCCCUAUGAUGAAUUUCUCAGUACAUUUUGACGUUAAAAGUAGCCUGAUUAUUCUUGAUGAGAAAUGAAGUACUGAGGGAUGUGUUUUUCUAUAAAAUUGCUACUAUGAAUUCUGCCAUUUUAUGAUUCCUGUUCCGGUUAUUGCUCCAUUUCUUCUUGAAAAGAUUGUGCUGAACUUUGAGAAGCUUUGUCAGGGUGAAGUUUGGAAGAAAGGCCAAGAAUUGAGUUUCACUAGCUGUAGUUUGAGAGCAACCUCACAAAGUGAGAUACUCUUUGUGUGCAAAAUACAGUUCUCAUUUGGUACAAGGCAUUGGCUGAUGUGUAUGCUGAAGUGACUUGGGUUGUAUCUCUGUUGCGUGGGUUCAGGUGUUUCUUUAUCUGCUCCUCCGAGGCUGUGGUGACAAUUUGGGGGGCGACUUACAUGUGUUCCAAUUUUGUAUUUCAUGCCAGGACUAAGCAUGUUGAGAUUGACUAUUGACAAGGUUACUUCUGGUGAGCUUCAGGUUAGAUUCAUUCCCACUAAGGAUUCGUUGGCUGAUAUCUUCAAUAAACCGAUGCCUGCUCCAAGGUUUGCUUUUCUUCGUGACAAGCUUCAGAUUGUGUCCUGUGAACCUUCGCUGAGUGGGAGUGUUAGGACUUUAUAAUUUUAGGAGUAGUGUAAUUCUAUUAUGAGUUGUUUAUAUAUUUAUCUAUCAUCUGUAAUCUAUUGAUGUGAAUACAGAAACACAGUUCUCAUCAAUAAUUUGCUCUUUUUGCAGCUUAUAUCAGCAAAUUUUAUUGGUUUGUUUGUAUCAUGUAUAAUUUGCUAAGUUGACUCGUGUGUAUGUUCUUUAUUUCUUUCAUAGAAGUGGACUGAUACACUGUUGAGUGUU